AACCUAGCACACCUGCGGUGUGUACCUGCGGAGGGAUCAUUACCGAGUUUACAACUCCCAAACCCCUGUGAACAUACCUAUACGUUGCCUCGGCGGAUCAGCCCGCGCCCCGUAAAACGGGACGGCCCGCCCGAGGACCCCUAAACUCUGUUUUUAGUGGAACUUCUGAGUAAAACAAACAAAUAAAUCAAAACUUUCAACAACGGAUCU
rnacentral:misc_RNA from 1 species